ensembl:lncRNA
CUGAAUGUAGCCCAAAGAUUAAGUGGAAAGUCCCAGAAGGAGUUCUUCAGACAUUCCUGUUUGUCAAGUUUGUGUUGACCAAUACGCUUACUUCUAGCUGGCCAGUCCUCCUGCAAUGACAAAAGGUUUCUUUGGCAUUUCUUGUCUUGAAUUCUCUGAUUUUUUUUUUCUUGAAGAGAUGUUUCCUGGUUUUCUGUUUACAGUAAAAACUGGAAUCUACUGAGUUCUGUGAAAAAUAAUCUACGAAAAAUAACAGUGUUAAGACACAUUAACAUUUUGUUUAAACUGUGGGCAGGUAUUAUUGAGUUACUAUUUGACAGUUUCCCUGCCUCUAUGUAUUACAAUCUGCUGCAUAUUUUAAUAUCAACACUUUAAUGUAAAACUCUUUAAUGAUGUAAACACAAAGCUAUUUAAUGUAGACUUAAUAUUUAAUGCAGUAUACAUUCAAGGCUGAAAGAAGGUGGAACGUGAGAUCAAAUUUAGAAAACAGGUUUUGGCAGUACAGAAAUACUAGACUAUGAAAGGAAGAAGGCAGUGACUGAGAGACGAAGACACAAGGUAUUUCACACAGGUUGCACAACUGCUUUGUGUGUGCUAUUGAUUGGUUUGAAGAAAAAAAAAGCCAUAAGGUUUUAUACACUUCAGACUGAUGGAGCAAUGCUGGAUAUGACUUGAAGGAUGAAUGAAAUGAGAGACCAUGGAGGAACAAACAGCAAAGAGCCUGUGUGUGAGAAAGCCCAAUUUCCUAUUGAGGCUCAGAGGGCUAAGCAAUACCCCAAGGACUGGCGGCCUACAAAAGAGGGACAUGAGCCUGCAUGGGGGUAUCAUCGACUUGCUGCUCCAGAGGUUGUUCAGAUGGGGGAGAGGUCUGCUGCAUCUAGCAUCGAGGAAAAGAAUCAGACAUCGGAGUCUGUGAUGGGAGGUGAUGUGGAUUCAGGUCCUUCCAGUGAAAAGUCACCUUUUGUUCUUGUAAAUAUUGGACCUGGUGAUGUGGAGCAGGAGAAUGGGGAUCCAAGGAUGGCAGUUAGAAACUCUGUUCCAGAGCCAUGUCCGCAGCGGAUUCAGCCUGCUCGUUUUCGGAGACUACCAGUGUGGUCUAAAGAUUAUAAUAUGAUGUGACUCGAGGAUGAGUCUUUUCUUUCAGAAGAGAGGGGAUAGUGUAGUGAACACUGGGGACAUUGUUUGGUUGGCUUGGGUCCAGCACAUUCGGGUUUUGUUGCAGUGUGUUCUCCUCCCACUCAUGGAGGGCAGGGAUGAUUGAACUCACCUGGAGCAGAUGGUAUUUAAGAGGAAGUGAAAAAAAGGAAUAGAGAGUCACAGGAGAGUGAAUGUACUGGCCUUUGCACUUGGUGGGAGGGGUGAUUGGGUGGGUGGGCGUGUGUAGGUGUCUUUGUGAAUGAGUGUUUUUUUUUUAAAGUUUGUUUAAACAUGAUGACUUGGUAUGUGUCGAGCUAGGAGAAAUGAGUCCAUCUUUGCAACACCUGAAAUGACUGGUGUGUCACAAUUUUUAGCGUGAAGUGUGGGGUGGGGAGAAAUCACGGGAGUGGAGUGUAGUGCAGUGUUGUGUGUCACUUGCUAUCACUGUUUAUCUUAGUAAAGGCCUACAAGUUACUGUUUGAUAAACUUAGUUAAAUGUUAUUUCUCAUUUUCUAAAGUAAGCUUUUUCUAUGCAGUCUGUGGUGUAGUGUACCUUUGGUUUCCUCCAUAUAUGUCUGGUUGAAUCUCCUUUAAAAUAACAGGAGGUUCAUUACAAUACCUACGGUUUGCGCUAGUUUAAACCAUUAAAAUAAAACCAUCAAACCUGUGUUUCCA